rnacentral:rRNA from 1 species
GAUGAACGCUGGCGGCGUGCCUAAUACAUGCAAGUCGAGCGAACAGACGAGGAGCUUGCUCCUCUGACGUUAGCGGCGGACGGGUGAGUAACACGUGGAUAACCUACCUAUAAGACUGGGAUAACUUCGGGAAACCGGAGCUAAUACCGGAUAAUAUAUUGAACCGCAUGGUUCAAUAGUGAAAGACGGUUUUGCUGUCACUUAUAGAUGGAUCCGCGCCGCAUUAGCUAGUUGGUAAGGUAACGGCUUACCAAGGCAACGAUGCGUAGCCGACCUGAGAGGGGGAUGGGCCACAUGGGAACGGACAAAGGGACCAAACCCAUAGGGGAGGAAGAAGUAGGGAAUCUUACGCAAGGGGGGAAAGCCGGAGGGAGCAAGGCCGGGGGGGGAGGGAAGGGUUUGGGAUCGUAAAACUCUUUUAUUAGGGAAAAAAAAAUGGGAAAGGAACUAGGCACGUUUUGAGGGUACCAAAGAAGAAAGCCACGGCUAACUACGG